UCGGGAAUUUUGGGCAAUGGGCGAAAGCCUGACCCAGCAACGCCGCGUGAAGGAUGAAGUAUUUCGGUAUGUAAACUUCGAAAGAAUAGGAAGAAUAAAUGACGGUACUAUUUAUAAGGUCCGGCUAACUACGUGCCAGCAGCCGCGGUAAUACGUAGGGACCAAGCGUUGUUCGGAUUUACUGGGCGUAAAGGGCGCGUAGGCGGCAAUUCAAGUCAUCUGUGAAAUCUCCGGGCUUAACUCGGAACGGUCAGAUGAUACUGCUUUGCUAGAGUGCAGAAGGGGCAAUCGGAAUUCUUGGUGUAGCGGUGAAAUGCGUAGAUAUCAAGAGGAACACCUGAGGUGAAGACGGGUUGCUGGGCUGACACUGACGCUGAGGCGUGAAAGCCAGGGGAGCAAACGGGAUUAGAUACCCAAGUAGUCCCUGAGCGGGCUGGCAAGGCGCAU
rnacentral:rRNA from 1 species